GUGCUGGCUGAGGUGUGUCAGUGACUGCCAUGGGCUGCACCCCUCACUGUUGCCCGAAGUCACCCAAGGUCACCCAAGGUCAAUGGGAAAUAUCCAGGGAUGACGGUGGAUCCUGGGAGCACCUCACAACAGCUACCUUCAGCACAGCACGACUUUCGAAGGCCUAAAGUUUGAACCAAAAAUGGAGCCCCUGCUGCUCUCCCCAUAUGGGAUUCAAAUUGAAAAGCUACAAGAGAUAUAAUGUUCCAGGAAUGGCCCAGCAUGUGGUAAAGGGCACAGAGCUUCCUAUAAAAGCUGGGCUAUGGCUCAAGGAUAAAGUCUGUGGUGGGGGAGUGGGAGAAGCUGGCAAUGUCUUGAUUCUACUGUUGAAGUUACCACUGUCUAAAAUCCCCUAGUCAUUAUGGAAAGACAGAGGACGAAACAGCCAUCCUGUCAACUUCUUUGUAAGGGGCAUCAGAAUCAAAGACUGCCAGAACACCCACACUGAUCCUACCUGCAUAAUGUGGGAAUGAAUGCUAUGGAUAAACUGCUGAAGAUGGUUCCUGUCCAUUUGACUCUGAAGGGUGUCUUCUUUCACGUUGAAGAACAGGAGACAACCAAAAUGUGAAACGUAUGCUGAAGCCAACCAGAACAUCAAAGGACAGUCACAAGCGCUAGCCAUGAAACUAUAUUUCUACUAAUACAUUC
rnacentral:lncRNA from 1 species